rnacentral:rRNA from 1 species
UGGGGAAUCUUGCACAAUGGAGGAAACUCUGAUGCAGCGACGCCGCGUGAGCGAAGAAGCCUUUCGGGGUGUAAAGCUCUUACGCCAGGGACGAUAAUGACGGUACCUGGAGAAGCAGCUGCGGCUAACUACGUGCCAGCAGCCGCGGUAAUACGUAGGCAGCAAGCGUUGUUCGGAAUUACUGGGCGUAAAGGGUGCGUAGGCGGCGCUCUAAGUUUGGUGUGAAAUCUCCCGGCUUAACUGGGAGGGUGCACUGAAAACUGGGGUGCUCGAGUAUGGGAGAGGAAAGCGGAAUUCCUGGUGUAGCGGUGAAAUGCGUAGAGAUCAGGAGGAACACCUGCGGUGCAGACGGCUUUCUGGACCAUCACUGACGCUGAGGCACGAAAGCGUGGGUAGCAAACA